AGAUUGAACGCUGGCGGCAUGCUUUACACAUGCAAGUCGAGCGGCAGCGCGGGGGCAACCCUGGCGGCGAGCGGCGAACGGGUGAGUAAUACAUCGGAACGUGUCCCGUAGUGGGGGAUAGCCCGGCGAAAGCCGGAUUAAUACCGCAUAUGCUCUACGGAGGAAAGUGGGGGACUCGCAAGGGCCUCACGCUAUGGGAGCGGCCGAUGUCCGAUUAGCUUGUUGGCGGGGUAAUGGCCCACCAAGGCGACGAUCGGUAGCUGGUCUGAGAGGAUGAUCAGCCACACUGGGACUGAGACACGGCCCAGACUCCUACGGGAGGCAGCAGUGGGGAAUUUUGGACAAUGGGCGCAAGCCUGAUCCAGCCAUGCCGCGUGAGUGAUGAAGGCCCUAGGGUUGUAAAGCUCUUUGUGCGGGAAGAUAAUGACGGUACCGCAAGAAUAACGCCCGGACUAACUUCGUGCCAGCAGCCGCGGU
rnacentral:rRNA from 1 species